CUCACUUUGUGUAUAUAACACACACGUGUCGGCACAUUCGCCGGGGUGCUCCAAAGGUUUUCAACCCGCGGGGUCGGCGCAAUGGGACACGUGGAGGCUUAAC
rnacentral:sRNA from 1 species